AAUUUUUUAAAGGGGGACAACUUUGAAGGGGUGGAGUGGAAAAAAUUUUAGAAUGCACAGAGUAUAUUGGUAACGCGGUGUUACCAAUCAAUCAAAUAUUUUUGUUUUAGAAAUAUAUGUUUCAUCAUAAUUAUAAAAAAAAUUUUAUUGUGCUUUUGUUAAGAAAAAAAAAUAUAAUUGAUUUGUUAUUUAUGACGUGAUACAAGCGUGACAGUAUAGAAUUUCUCGUGGAGUGGAGGGGAGACGUCAUCUUU
rnacentral:lncRNA from 1 species